UAGUGGCGAGCGAACGCGGAAGAGGCCAAACCGGAGGAUUUAUUCUCCGGGGUACGGACUUGCAUCACGAUCAGAGGAGCCUAAAAGAACGGCAUGGGAAGGCCGGCCACAGAGGGUGAGAGCCCCGUAUUUGAAAGGUGAGACUGACAGCGAGUAUCCAGAGUACCGCGGGACACGAGGAACCCCGUGGGAAAACGGGUGGACCACCAUCCAAGCCUAAAUACUACCUGAUGACCGAUAGAGGAGCAGUACCGUGAGGGAAAGGUGAAAAGGACCCCGGGAGGGGAGUGAAAGAGAACCUGAAACCUUGUGCUUACAAGCACUCAAAGCACGUUAAGGUGUGAUGAGGUACUUUUUGUAGAACGGUCCGGCGAGUUAUAGUAACGAGCAAGCUUAAGGUAUUCAGUACCGGAGGCGAAGCGAGAGCGAGUCUGAAUAGGGCGUAAAAAGUUCGUUGCCAUAGACCCGAAACCGGGUGACCUAACCAUGAGCAGGCUGAAGUGAGAGUAAAAUCUCAUGGAGGGCCGAACGCACGUUCGUUGCAAUGACCGGCGAUGACUUGUGGUUAGCGGAGAAAUUCCAAUCGAACUCGGAGAUAGCUGGUUCUCCCCGAAAUAGCUUUAGGGCUAGCGUUAUCUUAGAUUACCGGAGGUAAAGCACUGAAUGGGCUAGGGGGCGAUAAGCUUACUGAACCCUAUCAAACUCAGAAUGCCGGCUAAUUGAUGGAUAGCAGUCAGACAGUGUGAGAUAAGUUUCAUUGUCAAAAGGGAAACAGCCCAGACCCACAGCUAAGGUCCCUAAUGUAUGCUAAGUGGAAAACGAUGUGGAAUUGCGAAAACAACCAGGAUGUUGGCUUAGAAGCAGCCACUCAUUAAAAGAGUGCGUAAUAGCUCACUGGUCGAGUGACUCUGCGCGGAAAAUAUAACGGGGCUAAGCAUACAACCGAAGCUUGGGAUUGUCUAAAGACAGUGGUAGGGGAGCGUCGUGUAUGGGGUGAAGUCGCAUCGGAAGGAGCGGUGGACUGUACACGAGUGAGAAUGCCGGAAUGAGUAGCGAGAAUUAUGUGGGAAUCAUAAUGGCCGAAAAUCUAAGGUUUCUUGGGGAAGGUUCGUCCGCCCAAGGUAAGCCGGGAGCUAAGGCGAGGCCGCAAGGCGUAGUCGAUGCACAUACGGUAAAGAUUCCGUAGCCGCCGAACUUUAAGUCAGAGGGACACUUGCAGAUAGCGGAACCCAGCCGUUGGUUGAGCUGGGCGAAAGGGACUGAAAUUAGUAGGGAAGUCCGCGAUGCUGAAAGGCGAGAAAAGCUCUGAUGGAUACUAAGGCGCCCGUACCGCAAACCGACACAGGUAGAUGAGGAGAGAAUCCUAAGGCCAACGGGAGAAGGGUUGUUAAGGAACUCGGCAAAUUGACCCCGUAACUUCGGAAGAAGGGGAGCCCCGAAAGGGGCCGCAGUGAAUAGGCCCAAGCAACUGUUUACCAAAAACACAGGUUUAUGCUAAAUCGAAAGAUGACGUAUAUGAGCUGACGCCUGCCCGGUGCCGGAAGGUUAAGAGGAGAGCUUAGAGGCAACUCGAAGGUUUGAAUUGAAGCCCCGGUAAACGGCGGCCGUAACUAUAACGGUCCUAAGGUAGCGAAAUUCCUUGUCAGGUAAGUUCUGACCCGCACGAAUGGCGUAA
rnacentral:rRNA from 1 species